rnacentral:rRNA from 1 species
CGUGAGGGAAAGGUGAAAAGUACUUCGAAUAGAAGGGUGAAAUAGAUCCUGAAACCAUACGCUUACAAUCUGUCGGAGCCUCCUAGUGAUAGUGAGGUGACGACGUGCCUUUUGCAUAAUGAACCUACGAGUUAAUUUUUCCGGCGAGGUUAAGUAGUUCAGCUACGGAGCCGUAGCGAAAGCGAGUCUGAAUAGGGCAUUUAGUCGGAAGGAUUAGACGCGAAACCGAGUGAUCUACCCAUGAGCAGGUUGAAGCUGUGGUAACACAUAGUGGAGGACCGAACCGGUGGACGUUGAAAAGUCUUCGGAUGACUUGUGGGUAGGGGUGAAAGGCCAAUCAAACUCGGAGAUAGCUCGUACUCCCCGAAAUGCAUUUAGGUGCAGCAUCGUGUUAAAUAAAACAGAGGUAGAGCUACUGAUUGGAUGAAGGGGUUUCAUCACCUACUAAUUCCUGAUAAACUCCGAAUGCUGUUAUUAUGUUUCACGGUAGUGAGGGCAUGGGUGCUAAGGUCCAUGUCCAAGAGGGAAACAACCCAGACCAUCAGUUAAGGCCCCCAAGUGUAUAUUAAGUUGUAUAAACAAAGUUUAGUUACAAAGACAGCUACGAAUGGUGUAACGAUCUGGAAACUGUCUCAGCCGUGAGCUCGGUGAAAUUGUAAUAUCGGUGAAGAUGCCGAUUACUCGCAAUGGGACGAAAAGACCCUGUGAACCUUUACUAUAGCUUCGUAUUGAUUUUGAUUAAAAAAUGUGUAGGAUAGGUGGGAGACUUUGAAGUAUUGUCGCAAGACAAUAUGGAGUCAACCUUGAAAUACCACCCUUUUUUUAAUUGAAAUCUAACUCAAUUAAUUGUUGAGGACGUUGCGUGGUGGGUAGUUUGACUGGGGUGGUCGCCUCCAAAAAGGUAACGGAGGCUUCCAAAGGUACCCUCAGCACGUUUGGUAAUCGUGUGUAGAGUAUAAUGGCAUAAGGGUGCUUGACUGUGAGACCAACAAGUCGAUCAGGUACGAAAGUAGGGCAUAGUGAUCCGGUGGUUCCGUAUGGAAGGGCCAUCGCUCAAAGGAUAAAAGGUACUCCGGGGAUAACAGGCUAGUCUCCCCCAAGAGCUCAUAUCGACGGGGAGGU